rnacentral:ncRNA from 1 species
UGACCUCGGAUCAGGUAGGGAUACCCGCUGAACUUAAGCAUAUCAAUAAGCGGAGGAAAAGAAACCAACAGGGAUUGCCUCAGUAACGGCGAGUGAAGCGGCAACAGCUCAAAUUUGAAAUCUGGCUCUUUCAGGGUCCGAGUUGUAAUUUGUAGAGGAUGUUUCGGGUGCGAUUUAGGUCUAAGUUCCUUGGAACAGGACGUCAUAGAGGGUGAGAAUCCCGUAUGUGGCCAUAAGUCAACCCCAUGUGAAACUCCUUCGACGAGUCGAGUUGUUUGGGAAUGCAGCUCAAAAUGGGUGGUAAAUUUCAUCUAAAGCUAAAUAUUGGCCAGAGACCGAUAGCGCACAAGUAGAGUGAUCGAAAGAUGAAAAGCACUUUGAAAAGAGAGUUAAACAGUAUGUGAAAUUGUUGAAAGGGAAGCGCUUGCAACUAGACUUGUUUGCAGUGUUCAGCCAUCCUUUUGGAUGGUGUACUUCACUGUUAUCAGGCCAGCAUCAGUUUUGGUGGGAGGUGAAAGAUCAGGGCCAAUGUAACACUCUUCGGGGUGAACUUAUAGGACUUGGUGUAAUGCUCCCUACCGGGACUGAGGAACGCGCUUCGGCUCGGAUGCUGGCGUAAUGGUUGUAAGCGACCCGUCUUGAAACACGGACCAAGGAGUCUAACAUCUAUGCGAGUAUUUGGGUGUUAAACCCAUAUGCGGAAUGAAAGUGAACGGAGGUGGGAAUCCUUACGGAUGCACCAUCGACCGAUCCUGAUGUCUUCGGAUGGAUUUGAGUAAGAGCAUAGCUGUUGGGACCCGAAAGAUGGUGAACUAUGCCUGAAUAGGGUGAAGCCAGAGGAAACUCUGGUGGAGGCUCGCAGCGGUUCUGACGUGCAAAUCGAUCGUCAAAUUUGGGUAUAGGGGCGUACUUUCGCCCCUAAGAGCAGUCCUUCGGGGCAAGGCUUGUGAUCUGCAGGGAUUAACUUUAGUUAUGCCUGCCUCCAGAUUUCUGGACCACAGAUCAAGCAUGAGCCGAUAAUCAUAAUUAAAAUGAUUGUUCUAGAUAUGAUCGGAUUUCAGAC